AUAGUACCGUGAGGGAAAGGUGAAAAGAACCCCGGGAGGGGAGUGAAAUAGAACCUGAAACCGUAUGUCUACAAGCAGUCGAAGCACCUUAAGAGUGCGACGGCGUGCCUAUUGAAGAAUGAACCGGCGAGUUACAUUAUGUUGCGAGGUUAAGUGGGAGACACGGAGCCGAAGCGAAAGCGAGUCUUAAUAGGGCGACUAGUAACAUGGUGUAGACCCGAAACCGCAGUGAUCUAUCCAUGGUCAGGUUGAAGCGCAGGUAAAAAUGCGUGGAGGACCGAACCCGUGAGUGUUGAAAAACUUUGGGAUGAACCGUGGAUAGGGGUGAAAUGCCAAUCGAACGCGGAGAUAGCUGGUACUCCCCGAAAUAGCUUUAGGGCUAGCCUCAGGGAAGAUUAUAGACGGUAGAGCACUGAUCUGGCAAGGGGGCGUAAAGCCUACCGACCCUAGUCAAACUUCGAAUGGCUAUAAUUAAGACCCUGGGAGUCAGACUGCGAGUGAUAAGACCCGUAGUCAAGAGGGAAACAGCCCAGACCGCCGACUAAGGUCCCCAAUGCUGUACUAAGUGGAAAAGGAUGUAAGACUUCAUAAACAACCAGGAUGUUGGCUUAGAAGCAGCCACCAUUAAAAGAGUGCGUAAUAGCUCACUGGUCGAGAGGCCUUGCGCCGAAGAUGUCCGGGGCUCAAGUACAGAACCGAAGUCGCGGCAGGAUUAUAUAAUUCUGGGUAGGGGAGCGUUGUAUAUCCGACUGAAGGUGUACCGGAAGGAGCGCUGGAGGAUAUACAAGAGAGAAUGCCGGUAUGAGUAGCGAAAAGAACAGUGAGAAUCUGUUCCACCGAAAGCCUAAGGUUUCCUGAGCAACGCUCGUCGACUCAGGGUAAGUCGGGACCUAAGCCGAGGCAAAAAGCAUAGGCGAUGGACAACAGGUUAAUAUUCCUGUACCGCUUCAAAUCGUUUGAGCAAUGGAGUGACACAGAAGGUAGCUUGAGCACGCGAAUGGAUGUGCGUGUCGAAGGUGGUAGGUUGCAGUAUAGGUAAAUCCGUACUGUAUAAGACCGAGAACUGAUAGAUAGAUGAUACUUCGGUAAAGUCAAAUUCAAGUGAGCCAUGCUGUCGAGAAAAGCUUCUAGUGAGAGAUGAGGCGCCCGUACCGAAACCGACACAGGUAGGCGGGGAGAGAAUCCUAAGGUGCGCGGGACAACCCUCGUUAAGGAACUCGGCAAAUUGUAUCCGUAACUUAGGGAUAAGGAUAGCCGGAGGAUGUGAAGGGAUUUACUUCUGGAGCGUCAGCCGGUGGCACAAGAGAGGCCCAAGCGACUGUUUAGCACAAACACAGGUGCCUGCAAAAGAGAAAUCUGACGUAUAGGUGCUGACACCUGCCCGGUGCUGGAAGGUUAAGAGGAGGGCUUAGAGGAAACUCGAAGGCUUGAAUUGAAGCCCCAGUAAACGGCGGCCGUAACUAUAACGGUCCUAAGGUAGCGAAAUUCCUUGUCGGGUAAG
rnacentral:rRNA from 1 species